GAUGAACGCUGGCGGCGUGCCUAAUACAUGCAAGUCGAGCGAACAGACGAGGAGCUUGCUCCUCUGACGUUAGCGGCGGACGGGUGAGUAACACGUGGAUAACCUACCUAUAAGACUGGGAUAACUUCGGGAAACCGGAGCUAAUACCGGAUAAUAUAUUGAACCGCAUGGUUCAAUAGUGAAAGACGGUUUUGCUGUCACUUAUAGAUGGAUCCGCGCCGCAUUAGCUAGUUGGUAAGGUAACGGCUUACCAAGGCGACGAUGCGUAGCCGACCUGAGAGGGUGAUCGGCCACACUGGAACUGAGACACGGUCCAGACUCCUACGGGAGGCAGCAGUAGGGAAUCUUCCGCAGUGGGCGAAAGCCUGACGGAGCAACGCCGCGUGAGUGAUGAAGGUCUUCGGAUCGUAAAACUCUGUUAUUAGGGAAGAACAAAUGUGUAAGUAACGAUGCACGUCUUGACGGUACCUAAUCAGAAAGCCACGGCUAACUACGU
rnacentral:rRNA from 1 species